rnacentral:tRNA from 1 species
AGGGAUGUAGCUCAGUGGUAGAGCAUUUGCCUAGCAGGCAAGAGGCCCUGCGUUUACACGCACACCACUC